AAAUUUGUUGCUGGAUGCUGAUGGAGUGCUUAGAGUGUCAGAUUUUGGAAUGAGUGCACUGCCUCAACAAGCUAGACAAGAUGGGCUGCUUCACUCAGCAUGUGGUGCGCUUGAUUAUAUAGCCCCAGAGGUGAUAAGGAACCGGGGCUAUGAGGGUAAAAAGGCUGAUAUAUGGUCAUGUGGUGCUAUUCUGUUUCAUUUAGUUGCUGGUUAUGUGCCCUUCAGAAAUGAAUAUGACGACCGCAAUACUAAAAUU